rnacentral:rRNA from 1 species
GGGAUUGCUUAGUAACGGCGAGUGAAGCGGCAACAGCUCAAAUUGAAAUCUGGCUUCGGCCCCGAGUUGUAAUUUGCAGAGGAUGUUUAUGGUGCGGUACCUUCCGAGUUCCCUGGAACGGGACGCCACAGAGGGUGAGAGCCCCGUCUGGUUGGAUACCAAACCUGUGUUAAACUCCUUCAACGAGUCGAGUAGUUUGGGAAUGCUGCUCUAAAUGGGAGGUAAAUCUCUUCUAAAGCUAAAUAUUGGCCAGAGACCGAUAGCGCACAAGUAGAGUGAUCGAAAGAUGAAAAGCACCUUGAAAAGGGGGUUAAACAGUACGUGAAAUUGUUGAAAGGGAAGCGUUUAUGACCAGACUUGUGCCGUGUGGCUCAUCCGAGGUUCUCCCCGGUGCACUCCACACGGCUCAGGCCAACAUCGGUUUUCGCUGGGGGAUAAGAACAGUAGGAACGUAGCUCCCCUCGGGGAGUGUUAUAGCCUAUUGUACGAUACCCUGGCGGGGACCGAGGACCGCGCUUCGGCUAGGAUGUUGGCGUAAUGGUCAUUAGCGACCCGUCUUGAAACACGGACCAAGGAGUCGUCCAUUAGAGCGAGCGUUUGGGUGUAAAACCCGCACGCGUAAUGAAAGUGAAAUUAGGUGAGAGCUUCGGCGCAUCAUCGACCGAUCCUGAAGUUUACGGAUGGAUUUGAGUAAGAGUUUUAACGGACGGACCCGAAAGACAGUGAACUAUGCUUGAAUAGGGUGAAGCCAGAGGAAACUCUGGUGGAGGCUCGCAGCGGUUCUGACGUGCAAAUCGAUCGUCAAAUUUGAGCAUGGGGGCGAAAGACUAAUCGAACUGUCUAGUAGCUGGUUACCGCCGAAGUUUCCCUCAGGAUAGCAGUGUUGACCUUCAGUUUUAUGAGGUAAAGCGAAUGAUUAGGGACUCGGGGGCGCUUAUUAGCCUUCAUCCAUUCUCAAACUUUAAAUAUGUAAGAAGCCCUUGUUACUUAAUUGAACGUGGGCAUUCGAAUGUACCAACACUAGUGGGCCAUUUUUGGUAAGCAGAACUGGCGAUGCGGGAUGAACCGAACGGGGGGUUAAGGCGCCAGAAUGUACGCUCAUCAGACACCACAAAAGGCGUUAGUACAUCUUGACAGCAGGACGGUGGCCAUGGAAGUCGGAAUCCGCUAAGGACUGUGUAACAACUCACCUGCCGAAUGUACUAGCCCUGAAAAUGGAUGGCGCUCAAGCGUACUGCCCAUACCCCCCCUUCAGGGUAGAAACGAUGCCCUGAAGAGUAGGCGGCCGUGGAGG